AUUGUCUUAACAGUUGUUUUUAAAAUGUAGGUUUUGUUAUUGUUCAGGUAUGGUGAGCAGGAGACUACUGCCAUUGAAAAAGAUGAUUUGUUACAGUUUCCAAGUGGAGAGGGCACACCAUGCCACACAGGGACCCACGGAGGGACUGCAAAAGAAGAUAAAAUAAUUGAUCAUGAACUAUCCGCCCAGCAGUGUUGUAAGACUUUACAUCUAUUCACUCAUUUCACAUUCAGAACAACCUUAUAAGGGAUCUUCAGCAUGAGGAGGAGACUCUUGGACUGUGAUUUGCCAGCCCUGGGGAUUCGGAGGAGAAGGGGAAGCCGUUACCCAGGGUUAAUUAGCCCUCAUUUCAAGCACAAUUAUGG